GAUGAACGCUGGCGGCGUGCCUAAUACAUGCAAGUCGAGCGGACAGAAGGGAGCUUGCUCCCAGAUGUUAGCGGCGGACGGGUGAGUAACACGUGGGUAACCUGCCUGUAAGACUGGGAUAACUCCGGGAAACCGGAGCUAAUACCGGAUAGUUCCUUGAACCGCAUGGUUCAAGGAUGAAAGACGGUUUCGGCUGUCACUUACAGAUGGACCCGCGGCGCAUUAGCUAGUUGGUGAGGUAACGGCUCACCAAGGCGACGAUGCGUAGCCGACCUGAGAGGGUGAUCGGCCACACUGGGACUGAGACACGGCCCAGACUCGUACGGGAGGCAGCAGUAGGGAAUCUUCCGCAAUGGACGAAAGUCUGACGGAGCAACGCCGCGUGAGUGAUGAAGGUUUUCGGAUCGUAAAGCUCUGUUGUUAGGGAAGAACAAGUGCAAGAGUAACUGCUUGCACCUUGACGGUACCUAACCAGAAAGCCACGGCUAACUACGUGCCAGCCGCCGCCGUAA
rnacentral:rRNA from 1 species